GUCGACCAGUCUGGGUGGUUUUCUGCGAAACAGUCGCCGCCAAUUUCUGAGGUUACUUCUCGAGAUACAUCUCCACCAUCUCCACUAGAGCCCAUACGCACCGCGUCUGUCCCGUACUUUCCCACAAAAUGGGUGGCGUUAGUCAACGAGUUCAACUUGAGACCCAUGGCCACACGUAAUUCCACUUUCGCAUAUCCACCUGUGGGUGGAGACUGAAAGGUUAAAUACUACAGGCAACAAACUCAGAAAUCGCUUUAUCAAUGGCAACCUUGCCACCACUAUUUUUGUCGUAUGUUCUUUCCAUAUAAGACAAAACGCUGCCAAUGGAUUUCGGUAUAUCUGAUAAUUUGAUAUCCGGAUGCAGUCCACGAAGGUAGUCAUUAAGCUGCUCCUUCUGUUUUGGCUGCUGAUUGCCGGAUAGCAAGGCCGACACUGCCGCAUCAAUCUCCUUUCUUUUUUUGUCUGCUGCUGCUCUUGCGGCUGCUGUUCAUGCGGCUGAUGCUGCUGCUCCUGCGGCUGCAAUAUCGCCAAAAAGGCCCUCUGCAGAUUUCGGCGCUCACC